rnacentral:rRNA from 1 species
CCCUUAGAUGUUCUGGGCCGCACGCGCGCUACACUGAUGCAUUCAACGAGUUUCUUCCUGGUCCGAGAGGAAUGGGUAACCUUUUGAAAGUGCAUCGUGAUAGGGAUAGACUAUUGCAAUUAUUGGUCUUCAACGAGGAAUUCCUAGUAAACGCAAGUCAUCAGCUUGCAUUGAUUACGUCCCUGCCCUUUGUACACACCGCCCGUCGCACCUACCGAUUGAAUGACUCGGUGAAAAAUUGGGACCGUGAGUCUGUUUGCUUCAUUGCGAGUGGAUUGAUGGGAACUUUUUUAAACCUCGCCAUUUAGAGGAAGGUGAAGUCGUAACA